rnacentral:misc_RNA from 1 species
ACUUUCACAAGUACACUAAUGUUAUGAAAAAGCUUGGUUGAAUUUUGUACAGAAGAGUAUUUUAUAUCUGGUUGCUGACAUUUUAAAGAGUUGACCGUCGCAGGCAAAAUUCAUUCAUCCAAAUUUCCAUGGAGAUGCGAAGGGCCAGUGUAACUUUUAGGUCUUAUAGAUGAUUGACUUGUUAAAAUACGUUAAUCCAAGGAAUCUAUGGAUUGCAGUCAUAAGCUGUAUUUUGUUAACGUCCGUGUCUAAAUGAGUUGAAAAACAUUUGUUUUAUGAAGAAAAAAAAAAAAGGUAUAAAAAUAUGUGCUGUGAUUUUGACGUU